CAGUCGCCGCGGUAAUACGUAGGUGGCAAGCGUUGUCCGGAUUUAUUGGGCGUAAAGCGAGCGCAGGCGGUUCCUUAAGUCUGAUGUGAAAGCCCACGGCUCAACCGUGGAAGGUCAUUGGAAACUGGGGAACUUGAGUGCAGAAGAGGAGAGUGGAAUUCCAUGUGUAGCGGUGAAAUGCGUAGAUAUCGGAAGGAACACCAGUGGCGAAGGCGGCUACCUGGACUGAGACUGACACUGAGGCGCGAGAGCGUGGGGAGCAAACAGGAUUAGAUACCCGUGUAGUCCCUGUCUCUUAUAC
rnacentral:rRNA from 1 species